rnacentral:rRNA from 1 species
CGAAAGCCUGACGGAGCAAUACCGCGUGGGGGAGGAAGGCUCUUGGGUCGUAAACCUCUUUUCUCAGGGAAGAUAAUGACGGUACCUGAGGAAUAAGCAUCGGCUAACUCCGUGCCAGCAGCCGCGGUAAUACGGAGGAUGCAAGCGUUAUCCGGAAUGAUUGGGCGUAAAGCGUCCGCAGGUGGCAGUACAAGUCUGCUGUCAAAGGUCAAGGCUCAACUUUGGACAGGCAGUGGAAACUGUACAGCUAGAGUGCGGUGGGGGCAGAGGGAAUUCCCAGUGUAGCGGUGAAAUGCGUAGAGAUUGGGAAGAACACCAGUGGCGAAGGCGCUCUGCUAGGCCGCAACUGACACUCAGGGACGAAAGCUAGGGGAGCG